UAGUUAUGUUCUUUAAAUUUAAAGAAUUUGGCGGUGUUUUAGUCUAUUUAGAGGAAUUUGCCCUUUAAUCGAUAAUCCCCGAUUUAUCUAACUUUAUUUUGUUUUCAGUAUGUAUACCGCCGUUAUAAGUUUAUUUUUUUAGAAAAUUUAAUUUACUUUAAUCUUUAUUUUGAUUUAUUUCAGGUCAAGGUGCAGUUUAUAAUAAAGUAGUGGUUAAUUACAAUAAUAUUUGAUUAAACGAAUAUAAUUUUUAAAACUUUUGUUGAAGGUGGAUUUAAUAGUAAUUUUGUUUAUAAUAUCAAUUUGAUUUUAGCUCUAAAAUGAGUACACAUCGCCCGGUCGCUCUA
rnacentral:rRNA from 1 species